GAGAGAUCUUUUACCUUCUUGAUUUGUUCUUCUGAAUGUUUUGAUUUGAUGGUUCUCACAGAGAAAUAGGUUUUCUUGUGUUUCUCUUUGAGUUUUGCUUUUUCUCCGUGAGAAUUCUUUGGAAGGGGCUUCUUUUUAUGUCUGUGACCUCAAAAUUUCUUAAUUUCAUAAUAUGUUUUGAUAUGAAUUAGUUUUUAUGCUUUUUUUUUUGGGUUCGCAAGUGGCCGAUAUGUUUUCCUGGUUUCACUGUCUUUUGCUUGGUGGCGUUUUGGUUUUUUCCUCGAACGUACGUGCUUCUCCUUAUAUGUUCGACGAACCAGUAAUUCGGUUUGGCUGACUUGCUGUUAUUUUUCUCUUUGUCUGAUGGAGCAAUGUUUAGGUUGUUGUUAUUGUUGUUAUUCUUUCUGUCGUUGCUGUUAUCCUCAUUGUUGUUCUGAUUAUUUCUUGUGGUUAUUAUUUUUCUUUUUGUUACUGCUGUUAUUAUCUUUUCCUCUUUCUGAAGGUUUAUUUAUUAUUAUGUUGUUAAAGUAUCGUUAUUUCUUUCUUUGAAUAGGGUUUUAUGGCAUUACAUGUUCAAUUACGAAAUAGUUUUCAUCGAUUUUUUUUUUAGUUUUCUGAAAAAUCAAGAUUAUUAUUAUUAAAUUUUUAGGUUCGUGUUAAGAGUCUUUACGUAACUUUAGUACGUAAAGGAAACUUGUUCAUCAUGUAUGUCAACUUGUUGGGUGUCUAGGAGGCUAUAUGGGGUCAAUAAACAAAUACGACGGUCAAACUUUAUAAUAUCUUUUACAGAAAUGCUUUAAAUUUUUAGAUUUCGCAUGAGAUGGGAGUUCGUAUGUUCGUUGCUAUUUCUUUUGAUUGGGCCACUUAUCAUUUAACUUUUCGUACUCUUCUUCUUCUUCUAUUUGUUACUAUGUGAUGGACGAUAGUUUCCGAGGACUACACAAAAGGCUACAGGGACUUUAUCUGCUUGUUUUGAUUUUGCUGAAGGACAAUAUUUUUGUUGAACUAUGCUACUUCUGCAGGCUUUGGGGUCCGCGUUCUUGUACUGUUAUACUUGUUCUCAUGGGUGAUGCAAUCAACUUGCAUGACAUCAUGGCAACAAGGUGGAUAAUAGGUUUAUGCUUCAUUUAUGUAUUUCUGGUUGUGAAUGGUCUGUUAUAUGACAUAUCACUGACCUGUUUCCUCUUCUCAAUGUGGCAGAUGUCAUACUCCAGAAGUGAGAGGUACUAUUGUCGGUCUCGUUCAUCUUCACGCUCACGUUCACGUUCCAGGUCAUUGUCGCCCGAUAUGGACCGGAGGCGGAGAAGGUCCUUGUCAAGGUCAAGGAGUCGUUCAAGGAGCUAUGACUAUGAAGCAGAAAACCCUGGAAAUAACCUCUACGUGACCGGGCUUUCAACUCGAGUCACCAAGAAAGAGCUUGAGAGGCAUUUCGCCAGUGAAGGUGGCAUGGUGGAGGAUUGUCACCUGGUUGUCGAUCCUCGAACCAGGGAAUCUCGUGGAUUUGCAUUUGUGACGAUGUCCACUGUUGAGGAAGCGGAUCGGUGUAUUAAGUAUCUAGACCGCUCUGUUCUAGGCGGUCGAGUAAUUACUGUGGAGAAGUGUUGUUGGCAGCAGGGUGGCUGUGUGUAGCAGCUCUACAUCAAAACUCAAAUUCAAACUCAAACUCUCAGCAAAUUCAGACAUGUGGCAGAGGGUUGUAUGCCCUGCAUUUCUUUCUUUGAGCGAUUAACUUGCAUGUUUGCUGUAUCUGAUAACGCGUGUUGCCUGUAAUUCAGUUUUUCCUUACAACGUUCUUACUCCAUUUGUUCUAACUUACCGAGGUUCCAUGUUGUGCAGGCGAAACGAAGUCGAGGCCGAACACCGACCCCUGGUCGUUACCUGGGUGUGAAGACCGUCAGAGUGAGGCGUAGGUCUCCAAGCUACUCACCUUAUGACUCUGAAUAUUCUGACGAGAGGGAUCGAUCCUAUUCUCCAUACGACCGGCGG